GAUGAACGCUGGCGGCGUGCUUAACACAUGCAAGUCGAACGAUGAAGCCCAGCUUGCUGGGUGGAUUAGUGGCGAACGGGUGAGUAACACGUGAGUAACCUGCCCUUGACUCUAGGAUAAGCCCGGGAAACUGGGUCUAAUACUAGAUAGGAACGUCUACCGCAUGGUGGGUGUUGGAAAGAAUUUCGGUCAUGGAUGGACUCGCGGCCUAUCAGCUUGUUGGUGAGGUAAUGGCUCACCAAGGCGACGACGGGUAGCCGGCCUGAGAGGGUGACCGGCCACACUGGGACUGAGACACGGCCCAGACUCCUACGGGAGGCAGCAGUGGGGAAUAUUGCACAAUGGGCGAAAGCCUGAUGCAGCGACGCCGCGUGAGGGAUGACGGCCUUCGGGUUGUAAACCUCUUUCAGUAGGGAAGAAGCGAAAGUGACGGUACCUGCAGAAGAAGCACCGGCUAACUACGUG
rnacentral:rRNA from 1 species